GUUUCAGGAAGAGGAGGAGGCGCUUGCUGGCGUUGCCAAGGGCGCAGUGGCGCCGCGGUCCACAUGGAACCCAACCUGCAUUUCUGGAUCUCCGAACGCCAAGUACUCCGGGCCGGGUGUUGGGGCGGGAGGCUGGCCUGGGCAGAGUGACCUUGACCGGCUGCCCUGCGUCAUCGUGACUUUCCUGUCAGAGAUGGUUUUGGGCCGAGUAACUCCCCUGUACUGGGGGUGGGAAACAAACCCAAGCUCUUCAGUCCACACUCUUGCAUCUCUUACUUGGGUCCUAGACUGUGUUGGAGAAGGCCACAAAGUCACUCCCAAACGAUGGUAGGGCCUCACUAAGGAGUUCCAGUCCUCAGUAGAACGGCCCUUGACAAGCGGCACAGUGAAGAGAAAACAAGUCCUUCCAGGCUUCCUAGGCAUGCCUGGCUCAGCCAUUUAGAUUAAGACCACACUUACGCCCUGCUUUAAGCAGGUUAGAGGCUGGGAAGUCACUGUUGGGUAGUGUUUCUAGUAAUCAUAUUAAAAGGUUUUAAACAGCUAUUAAUCUUAAUGACAUAAUGAGUCCAACCAAUGCCAAAUAACAUUUCAACAUGUAAUAAAAAAUAGAUUCUACCUUUUUUUUUUUUUUUUUGGUACAAAGACUUUGAAGUCCAGUGUGUAACCCGUGCAAGCAGUCUGGCUCAGUUUCACUUCUUACAUAUCCUCAGGGGCCUCAAGGUUCUAAAUACUCUGUUAGAGGCCUUGACCUUAAACUAAGUUUAGCCCACCCUUGUUUGUGGAGAUCCAGUACUUAAGGCUGAAGCUGUUCCGAACGUGGGCAGCUUGUUGGAGCAGAACCCACCUCCUUCCCAUGUGAGCUGAGCUGUAACCCUAUCUGAGCCCUUGCUGGGUUGACUGCCUCUUAUUGUUAUAGGUAAGCCUUAUAGCAGCAGAGAAAGUCAGGCAAGAGUCCGGUGUUUCUAGGUCAUUACCUUGUGGUCAUAUGGAGAUAUGAAGAGAAAAUAUGAACCCCAAAUUCUAGGUUUUAAUUCUGAAAGGAAACUAUCCCAUGUGGUUAGAGGAGAUACAUUUGAUAAAAGUCAGACUGCCUACAGUUCUUUAGUAAGUACGCCUCCACUGAAGUGAACUGGGAUUGCCUUAAUAAGUUUCAUGUCUCUUAACUUGCUCUCUGGUGUGUCUCUUUCUCACCGUCUUCAGUCCUUCUUUCGAAGAUUUUGUCAGUGGAUGGAUUUAUUAGAUCCUGUAAACGUGUUUAUUUCAGUUGAAAGCAUAGAAAAAUCACGACAGCUGUUGUUUACUACUGAGGAUGCACCCAAACACUACCUGGAUAACCAAAGGGUUAAAGACGCAUGGAAUAAGAGUCUUUCAACUGUGCACCCUGACAGCAGCAAGUUGAUCCCCCAUCUUUUCCGACCUGCAGCUUUCCUGCCUGUGACAGCACCCAUGGUACUUCUGAUGAUGAUGCCAGACACUGGAAUAAAGUCCAUCAUUUUAACUCAGGGUUGCUUAUAUGGAUAUACCACAGCCUUUAACAUCACCAAUGGAAAUGCCAGUUAUAGUCAUGGACCAGUAGAGAGAACGUUGUUGGGAGCAGGGGUGUUUGCGUCUUCAACUUUCUUUGGAUCAAUUCCCCAUCUCUUUCAACUGAAGUAUCCCCUGAAUAACCUUUGGCUUAAAAGAUUCUUGCCAAUCAUCUUUCUUGCCCAAAUCAGCGGAAUGAAUGUUUUUGCAUCCCGCAGUUUUGAAAACCAUCGAGGAAUUGAGGUGAUGGAUAAGGAAGGCCAUGUCAUAGGCUAUUCCAGAAAAGCUGGGAGAAAGGUUUGAAACACAGCAGGGCUAUUGCUACUGCUUAUUCUUGGGUACAGAAUUGGAUUUUGUGUUUGAGAGCUUGUAACCUAGUGUCUGUCUGCUUUCUACUUUUCCUGGGCACAUCUCCUGGUCAUGCCAGAAAAAGAUACUGUGCUUUGUACCUCAUUAUUUAAGAGAUGGUGCAGUGGUGUGGAUUUGCCAGAGAAACAGAGCAAGAUGUGUGUAUGGGCAGUUAGAGAUUCUUAUCCAGGAGUUUGCUCACAGGACUGUUCGGGCUGUUGAGUUACAGCCCCAUAGAGCAAGCCUACAGGCUGGAGGCAGAUCCCACACACCAAUUGGAGGCAGAAUUGUUUCUUGGAGAACCUUGGGUUUUGUUUGUUUUCUUUUUUUUCCUCCCUUCCCCUGCUUUCUCUCUGUUCUCUUUUCUUUUCUCUCCCCUCUCUUUCUCAGUCUUUGUUUUUCUCUUUGUGUGUGUGUGUGUGUGUGUGUGUGUGUGUGUGUGUGUGUGUGUGUGUGUGUGUUGAUGUUUUGAGACAGGUUCUUGCCUAGUAUCCUAUGCUGGACUCUGAUUCCUAAUAUUCCUGUCUGAGCCUUAAGAGUGUUGGCCUUCCAGGCAUGUUUUCCACAUACUGCCCUUUCUCUGUCCCUCUUCUCCUUUCUUUCCCCUUUCCUUUGCCUCCCCUUCCUUGGUUUCCUCCCCACCCUAAUACUGGGGCUUGCACCCAAGCAAAUGCUUUUCAGGGUAAAUUUUUUGUUGUUGGAUUUUUUUGUUUCUGUUUUAUUUUACUUUGUUUUUUGAGACAAAGGUUUCUCUGUGUAGCCUUAGGCCAUCCUGGACCAGGUUGGCCUUGAACUCACAGAGAUCUGACUGCCUCUGACUGCCAGGAUUAAAGGUAUGCCCUGAUACCACCACCCUUAAUAAUUAGGGUAAUUAUUAAGAAUUUUAAUAUAAUUUAUUUAUUUUAUGUUAUGGAUGUUUUCCCUAUGUGUGUUACUCUUGGCCUGUAGAAACCAGAAGGUAUCAGAUCUCCUGGAACUGGAAGACACGAGAUCUUCUAGAGUUACAAAAGAACUGCGUAACCAGAGGUAUCUGAUUAUAAUCAGGCACCUUGGAUCAAAUUUCAGGCUAUUAAAGAAACAGCGAAGUCCAGAGCAGUGCUGUUUGGGACCUCAGCCUUGGCCCCUGAACUCUUUAUCCAUAUUUUU